rnacentral:lncRNA from 1 species
UUAUUUACUUUUAGAUCAUGACGUAGGGAUUUGUUUUAAGUAGAUAGUAAUGUACUUUGUGUUUUUACGAGUUGGUAUAUUUUAAUAGUCAUAUAUAUGUACAUCCUUUUAAAUGUAAUCUCUUAUAGAAUAUAUGUUUUAGUGUAUGAGUGUACCCCCAAUCCAAAGGUGUUCUUCUUAUUGACUUUACCCCGGUCCGUUGCUUCCGUCUGUUGGUGGUGUUCGUAGAACAUUACAGAAAAUUAAGAAAUUUUUCAGUCCUCCUCAUGUAGUUGGUCAUGUACCUCCAAAGUCUUAAUCUUAUCCAGUAGUAAGGGAUUGCCUAUCAAAUAUCCCUCAACAUAAUUCCAGUCAGUUAUGUAUCUCACUCAGAUCCAUCCACAUUAAAGUAGAGAACUCCUCCAUGGGUGCCAUCCAUCUCUCUAAGUAACCAAGACACGAACUAUAGUCUACAGACCCUAUAUAUAUAUUAUUAUAAUAUCUUUUUAUGACGAGGCAAAAUAACGGACGUUUUUGGAAUCCCUGUCGAAUGCAAUUUUUAGGUAUCGAAAAGAGGACAUGUCUGAGAAAAAGAGGACAUCUGAUCAUCCUAGUAUAAUUUAAGCACUACCCAAUAAUCUCUGGAGGGGGAAAAUCAAUAGCUACCAAUUGUUUAUACCGGUGCUAGGUAAUAUAAUAAUUAUUAGAGAGUUUUCAUGCAAUAUUACAAUUUUAAUGUCAUGUAUUGUGGGCCCCUAAACAACCAAGUUUUAUAAUAAUGAAGGCCCAACAAAGUAAGGACUUAAGGAGGUUACCAUAUUUAUCUUGCAUGUACACAUCUAAUUGUAUAUAUAUAUAUGCAAUUUUCUUAAUGUUUAGACCCCUUCGGCGCGGGCAAGCUUUUGGGUCUUAUUUAAUCAGAACCCUAUAAGAAAAGUUACGACAUCAAGAAAACUCCCUGGCGUCAGCUGACAAUCAACUUUAAUAAAUUUGUGGCCUUAUUCAAAUCUUAUUAACUGUGAAGACAAAGUAAUUUUUCCAAUACAUCGAGCUAAAAUCCAAAAAUUAGGAUAGAAAUACCUUCGUGUGCCACUGUUAAAUGCUCGAACAAAUCUGGAGACAAAGAUGCCACGCUUUUUUCCUUUCCAAAGGAUAAGAGUAUCUCAGAGAAAUGAAUACUUCAAAUGAAGAGGGCCAAUGGGAAGCCUUCCACUCAUUCUCAGUUGUGCUCAAAGCACUUCGAAAUAAGCCAAUUCUAAAGAUUGGACUACUUAAAACAGAUAAAAAACUUUGUUUUGGGGCUAUACCUACCCUAUUCCGACACGUGAAGCAUAUUGUGGAAAUACGGAAUUCUAGAAAAUCAGAUGAGGAAGGAGAGGCCUCAAUUGUAGUUAAAUAAGGUUGACGCAAGGUGGAACUCAAUUCUAUUGUCUAUAAAUAAAAAAUGUGUUGUAAACUUCAAAUAACAUACAAAAAUUCAUGAAUGAAAAAAUUUCUCUAAAUGAGAAGUCCAUCUUUUAUUUCUGUCAAAAAUAGCCAAA